rnacentral:rRNA from 1 species
UGGGCGUAAGAGCUCGUAGGCGGCUUGUCACGUCGGGUGUGAAAGCCCGUGGCUUAACCCCGGGUCUGCAUCCGAUACGGGCAGGCUAGAGUGUGGUAGGGGAGAUCGGAAUUCCUGGUGUAGCGGUGAAAUGCGCAGAUAUCAGGAGGAACACCGGUGGCGAAGGCGGAUCUCUGGGCCAUUACUGACGCUGAGGAGCGAAAGCGUGGGGAGCGAACAGGAUUAGAUACCCUGGUAGUCCACGCCGUAAACGUUGGGAACUAGGUGUUGGCGACAUUCCACGUCGUCGGUGCCGCAGCUAACGCAUUAAGUUCCCCGCCUGGGGAGUACGGCCGCAAGGCUAAAACUCAAAGGAAUUGACGGGGGCCCGCACAAGCAGCGGAGCAUGUGGCUUAAUUCGACGCAACGCGAAGAACCUUACCAAGGCUUGACAUAUACCGGAAAGCAUUAGAGAUAGUGCCCCCCUUGUGGUCGGUAUACAGGUGGUGCAUGGCUGUCGUCACCUCGUGU